UGCCCUAUACAAAUCAUCAUAAAACUUAGAGUUCCUUGGCUGAGAAUAUGAAUUUACACAAAAACUUGUAAAUCUGAAUAUAUAAAUGUUUGCAUGAUUUUUUUUUUAAAUACAUUUGAUAUUUUAACAGUAAUUUUAUUUGGCGAGGAUCCUUGCAAUAACUUGUCAGUUAUAUGUUAUAUCAAACAAGACACACUUAUGGACUAGCUCACUGCAUCAACACAAAAUACUUACAGAUCUAAGGUCAUUGUCUUCAUUCAACAAUUUACCACCAUCAACAUCAACCACUGCCCGUUGCUCAAGAAGGUAUUU
rnacentral:misc_RNA from 1 species